GCCGGAGUAGCUCAGCUGGUAGAGCGGCGCAUUCGUAAUGCGUAGGUCGGGGGUUCGAUUCCCUUCUCCGGCACCA
rnacentral:tRNA from 1 species